UACGUAGGGGGCGAGCGUUGUCCGGAUUUAUUGGGCGUAAAACGCUUGUAGGCGGCCACCGCGCGUCGGCUGUGAAAUCUCCCGGCUCAACUGGGAGGGGUCAGGCGAUACGGCGGGGCUCGAGGCAGGUAGGGGGAAGCGGAAUUCCCGGUGUAGUGGUGGAAUGCGUAGAUAUCAGGAGGAACACCAAUAGCGAAGGCAGCUCGCUGGGACGUUACUGACACUGAGGCGCGAAAGCGUGGGGAGCGAACAGG
rnacentral:rRNA from 1 species